GACUCUCGGCAACGGAUAUCUCGGCUCAUGCAUCGAUGAAGAACGUAGCGAAAUGCGAUACUUGGUGUGAAUUGCAGAAUCCCGUGAACCAUCGAGUCUUUGAACGCAAGUUGCGCCCGAAGCCAUUCGGCCGAGGGCACGCCUGCCUGGGCGUCACGC
rnacentral:rRNA from 1 species